CCUACGGGAGACAGCAGUGGGGAAUAUUGCUCAAUGGGGGAAACCCUGAUGCAGCGACGCCGCGUGAGGGAAGAAGUAUUUCGGUAUGGAAAGCCCUUUUAGCAGGGGAGAAAAUGACGGUACCUGACCAAGAAGCCCCGGCUAACUACGUGCCAGCAGCCGCGGUAAUACGGAGGGGGCAAGCGUUAUCCGGAUUUACUGGGUGUAAAGGGGGCGUAGACGGGAGCACAGGUCUGGAGUGAAAUGCUGGGGAUUAACCCCGGAACUGCCUUGGAAACUGUGCAUCUAGAGUGGAGGAGAGGUAGGUGGAAUUCCUGGUGUAGCGGUGAAAUGCGUAGAUAUCACGCGGAACCCCAAUUGCGAAGGCGGCUUACUGGACUGUAACUGACGUUGAGGCACGAAAGCGUGGGGAGCAAACAGGAUUAGAUACCCGAGUAGUC
rnacentral:rRNA from 1 species